CCCAAGUUCUCCCUCUCCAAGGUAGGGUUCACAAAGUUAUAUGGCUAGAUGGAGGGUUCGUAGGUGCCACAGCCAAGACCAAUGAACGAAAUCUGCAUUCGUCAUCCUUGUGGCCGAUCCUUCCAUGUUGGCAGGUGAACACCAUAGCUCAUCCCUUAUCACAAUCCCUAGCUUAAGAGGUUCCAGGGCAUUGAUCUCCACUUUAACCCUCA
rnacentral:lncRNA from 1 species